GAAUGCAUGAUGGUUGACAAUGUGUUGGUACUAGUUGGAGAUGUUGUUAGUUGUGAUGGUGGAGAUAGUUGUUAGUAGAGAUAAAUUAUAGUGAUGGUUGUGGUUGAAGUGAUGGUAGAGGUGGCGUUAUUAGUGACAAUGGUAGUGGCGGCCAAAGAAUGUGUGGAGGUUGUGAUGUAUUAGUGAUAGGUAGCAGUUGUGCUAGUUGUGAUAGAUGAGUUGGUCGAUAGUAGGGAUUGACUGGUAGUGGUUGAUGAUGGUGGUGCUGUUGAUGGCGGCGGUGGUGGUGAAUAUAAUUAGAAUAAUAGAGGUAGUAGCUGUGGUAACAAUUGACAAUAGUGGUUGGUAGCAAUAUUUAUUAUCGAUGGUGGUUGUGAUGGUAAAUGUGGUUGGUGGCGGUGGUUGGUGAUUGAUAAUGGUGGAGGUGGCAGAGGUGGUUAGUGGUGGUAAUUGAUGAUUAUGAAUAGAGCGGCAGCGAAUAUUAUCUAACACCAGAAUACCUCUUCAGACUUGAUUCUAGAUCUGAAUGAUUAAGACCUAUUUAGUCCUAUUAAUAGCUAAAAUCUUGAUAAAAAAUAAAGACACUUAAUGGUCUGAAGUCUGAACCAUUUAGAUUCAGACCUCCAUUAAGUGCAAACAAAUGAGCCCCAAGUGUUUGAAAAAAAUUCCUCAAUCAAGAUUUCUAUUAGAUUUUUCUUACAUUAUUUUUCUGGUGAAUUUGUUGCUUCUCUUAGGCCUUUUAGUUGCAUAAUGAAAUCUUUAGUUAGUGAUGCUUUUAAUUAUAUUAUUUAUGCAUCUUCGUGGAAUUAAUUAGCACCUCCAUGUAUUUAUCAAUGGUAUUUGAUGCGAAUAGGUACAAAUUUUAGUUAGUUUUUUCCCUCCAAUCCAUAUUUGCCUUUUGUGCUUGGUUCACCACAUUAUGUUUUUGUCUCCCAUGCUCUGAAUGAAAAAAUAGAAGACGACAGUAUACCUUUAUAUUUUAUCCAUUUUCGACCCUUUUUACUUUAAUAAAUUAAUUAAUUAAUGUGAUAAUAACUAUCAAUCAUUGAAGUGAUGUAUGCAUCCUACAUGUCUGAUGAUAUGCCCACUCUUGAUUCUCUCUUGAUGGAAUUGAAAAUUCAGUUUCAUGAUUUGCAUAUAAUUAUCAUCAAAUGCAGUUGUCCCAUAAAAAAGACAGCAGGUUAAGAGUAUAAGAGGGUUCAAAUUUUAAAGUUCUCAAUACAGUGGUUUCAGAUUCUAUACGGUGGAAUUUUGUAACGCCUCGAGACUACUCCUUGGGAGUUACACGAUGCUUACGAUCUGGAAGGACAACAAGCUAACCCAUGACUAGUACAUGCUAUGAGCACUGAAUAAUAAUCAUGAAGUAUACGUGGAAGUAAAACUGAAAAUGCCAUAAGGUUCAUAAAACUGAAUCAAACUGUAUACAUCUGUAGAACAACUCUUAACUGAUAAUGUCUGAAAGCCUCUAAACAUCUAAAAUAAAAGAGUUGAUGGGACAGGCCCCAACUAACUCACAA